UACAGGGGGGGGCAAGCGUUGUCCGGAAUUAUUGGGCGUAAGCGCACGUAGGCGGCUUAGCAAGUCGGAAGUGAAAUCCCACGGCUCAACCAUGGAAGUGCUUUCGAAACUGCUGAGCUUGAGUACGAAAGAGGAUCGCGGAAUUCCCGGUGUAGAGGUGAAAUUCGUAGAUAUUCGGAAGAACACCAGUGGCGAAGGCGACACACUGGCCCGUUACUGACGCUGAGGCGCGAAAGCGUGGGGAGCAAACAGG
rnacentral:rRNA from 1 species